AGAGUUUGAUCAUGGCUCAGGAUGAACGCUAGCUACAGGCUUAACACAUGCAAGUCGAGGGGAAACGACAUCGAAAGCUUGCUUUUGAUGGGCGUCGACCGGCGCACGGGUGAGUAACGCGUAUCCAACCUGCCCACCACUUGGGGAUAACCUUGCGAAAGUAAGACUAAUACCCAAUGAUAUCUCUAGAAGACAUCUGAAAGAGAUUAAAGAUUUAUCGGUGAUGGAUGGGGAUGCGUCUGAUUAGCUUGUUGGCGGGGUAACGGCCCACCAAGGCAACGAUCAGUAGGGGUUCUGAGAGGAAGGUCCCCCACAUUGGAACUGAGACACGGUCCAAACUCCUACGGGAGGCAGCAGUGAGGAAUAUUGGUCAAUGGGCGAGAGCCUGAACCAGCCAAGUAGCGUGCAGGAAGACGGCCCUAUGGGUUGUAAACUGCUUUUAUAAGGGAAUAAAGUGAGUCUCGUGAGACUUUUUGCAUGUACCUUAUGAAUAAGGACCGGCUAAUUCCGUGCCAGCAGCCGCGGUAAUACGGAAGGUCCGGGCGUUAUCCGGAUUUAUUGGGUUUAAAGGGAGCGUAGGCCGGAGAUUAAGCGUGUUGUGAAAUGUAGACGCUCAACGUCUGCACUGCAGCGCGAACUGGUUUCCUUGAGUACGCACAAAGUGGGCGGAAUUCGUGGUGUAGCGGUGAAAUGCUUAGAUAUCACGAAGAACUCCGAUUGCGAAGGCAGCUCACUGGAGCGCAACUGACGCUGAAGCUCGAAAGUGCGGGUAUCGAACAGGAUUAGAUACCCUGGUAGUCCACGCCGUAGACGAUGAAUGCUAGGUGUAGGAGGUAUCGACCCCUUCUGUGCCGGAGUUAACGCAAUAAGCAUUCCGCCUGGGGAGUACGGCCGCAAGGCUGAAACUCAAAGGAAUUGACGGGGGCCCGCACAAGCGGUGGAGUAUGUGGUUUAAUUCGACGCAACGCGAAGAACCUUACCAGGGCUUGACAUUGAGUGAAAGGACAAGAGAUUGUCCCCUCUCUUCGGAGACACGAAAACAGGUGGUGCAUGGCUGUCGUCAGCUCGUGUCGUGAGAUGUUGGGUUAAGUCCCGCAACGAGCGCAACCCCUAUUCUUUGUUGCCAGCACGUAAUGGUGGGAACUCAAAGGAGACUGCCGCGGACAACGCGGAGGAAGGCGGGGAUGACGUCAAGUCAUCAUGCCCCUUAUGUCCUGGGCUACACACGUACUACAAUGGGAUGGACAGAGAGCAGCGAAGCCGCGAGGCCAAGCGAACCCCAUAAACCAUCUCCCAGUUCGGAUUGCAGGCUGCAACCCGCCCGCAUGAAGUUGGAAUCGCUAGUAAUCGCAGGUCAGCAUACUGCGGUGAAUACGUUCCCGGGCCUUGUACACACCGCCCGUCACACCACGGAAGUCAUUCACACCCGAAGCCGGCAGGCUAACCUUUUGGAGGCAGCCGUCUAAGGUGGGGCGAUGACUGGGGUGAAGUCGUAACAAGGUA
rnacentral:rRNA from 1 species